rnacentral:lncRNA from 10 species
GUCCGAGCGCCGCCCAGCGCACAGCUACCCCGGAGGGGCGGCUCCUUGGCCAGGGAAGGAGGCGGGAUCUGCUUGCCAGCGGGCGUCUCCGCUUAGCGCUCUCUCCAGAAACCGCUGGGCAGUCUCCUGGGUGAGCGCCAGACGCCUGGGGUCCGUUUGCCGCCUGCUGAGACUAGACAAGGACCCCGGGAGGGCGACGUUGGGGGAGAGGGCUACGGAUGGAGGUCCCGCCGCGCUUGGGCCGGGUCCGGAGCCACCAGGACGCACAGCGGGUUUCCCUCAUUCUCAGUCAGGUGGUUGAGUUAUCCAAGCCUUCAUAACCAGAGGGUCUGAGCACUUGUUGGACUGUGCUUACUGCAGCUUCUCAUUUACAAUUACCACUGCACCUGAGAGUACCAAGAGAUUCCUGAGCCAGAGAUUACGAUUUCCAACUUCCAGCUCCUCAAGAUGGAGAAACAGAGGGAAGAAGAGACUUGGAAUCACUCUGUCCUGGCUGUGGGUCUAUGAAAAAGAAUGUGGCCUACUGCUAAAUACAUUGAUUUUGAAGCUAGAUAGCUCUGGUUUUGGGGAGCAAGUGAUUUGAUCUCUCAGAGACUCAGCUACUUCAUCAGUAAACAGAGAUUACCAUAUCCACCAGUAAUGGCUAUAGGAGCAGUAAUAGGGAUGAUAUAGGUGAAAGCACUGAUCACUGAAUGAUUCCAAAGACAGGUGCAGAGAGGUUCAGGCAUCAGACAGGCUACCUGGAUCCAAAUCCCAGCUCCAUCAUUUACUACUUUCAUGGCCUUUACAAACCACUAAACUUCUCUCUGAGCUUCAAUUUUCCCAUCUGUAACAUGGGAACUAAUAAAAUGAAACCUUCCUAAUAAAGUUGCCAGGAAGAUUCAUUGAGACAUUGAAUGUAAAGUAUUUAACUCAAUAUAGAGCACAGGGGAGCACCAAAUAAAAUUCAGGUGUUACAUUUUUAAGCACGUGUUCACCAAGGCUCCCAAUUCAGGUGGUGAGGAUUCUAUGAUGAUCAAUUCCUCCUAAGGUAUUUGUAAAAUGACCCACCAGAUUACCAACCAUUCCUGUAUUUCCAGAACCCUUUGGAGUCCUUUAUGUAACCUGGGAGAGCUGUUAUUCUUUUUUCUUUUUGGUAGAAGUGAAAUCCUGCAGGAAAACUUGCUCCAUUUUGGUUAUUUCUGUUAUAUCACAAGGUGGGCUGGAUAGCAAGUUUUGGAAGCACUGAACACCCACACGGAGCUGGCUCCUCUCAGGCGGGGAGGCAUCUUCACUAAGGAGAGGUGCAGUCUGUGUCCCCGUCCUUGACUCUGAGAAUCCCUGUGAUCAACAGAAUGCAGAAAAGUGACACUGCAUGGCUUCUGAGGCUAGGUCCAGAAAAGGUGAUGCAGCUUCCCCCUUUGCGCUGAAAUGCAGUGCUUGGACCUCAGAGCUAUUGACUAAGAAGUCCAUGCACCCUGAGCUUCUCAUGCUGGGGAAGCCACGUGUAGGCAUUCAGUUCCCAGCCCAGCUGAGCUCCAUCCUGGCUGCAACAAUUGUUCUCAUGAGGAAGCCAUCUUGGACACUCAGCUCCAUGGAGCCUCCACGAGUCGCCAGCCCCAACUGACAUCUGUCUCACUGCAACCACAGAAGAGCCUCCAACCAAGAACUGCACAGCUGAACCCUUUCUAAAUUCUUGAUCUCCAAAAAGCCAUGCACAAAAUAAAAUGGUUGUUUUGAGCCACUAAACUCUGGAACCUCGAGUAGGGGAGAAGUUCCUUUGGGCUCUCUAGGAAGCGUGGUUGAGGAGGCUUCAGGAAACUUGCAAUCAUGCAGGCACACAUUGCAUGGCUAGAACAGGAGGAAGAGAGUGAAGGGGGAGGUGCUAUACACUUUCAAACAACCAGACCUCGUGAGAACUCACUAUUAUGAUAACAGCAAGGGAGGAAUUCACCCCCAAGAUCCAAUCACCUCCCACCAGGCCCCUCUUCCAACUUUGGGGAUUACAAUUUGACAUGAGACUUGAGUAGGGUCACAAAUCCAAACCAUAUCAUGGGACAAGUGAUUGAAGACUCAUCAUUCUGUUCUGAAUGAAUUUUAUGACCAACUUGCUGUGUAGAGGGAGACAUUUGCCAAAUUUCAUUCAUAAUGGGUUCUGCAUACAGAACAGCUCGGAUUCCAGUUAGCCAUUAUUAUUGUAUGAACUUGCAUGAGUCACUUAAAUAAUUUGUGACCCAAUGUACUCAUCUGUAAAAUGGAGAUGCUAAUGGUAACUUGUUUGUAGCCUUUUGUGAUGAUUAAAUAAGAUUACUUUGUAAAGUGCGUAGACUGGUGUUUGGCAUUGAAUAUAUGCUCACGAAACAUUAGUCACUUUUAAAAGUUACCAUCUCAGAAAGAGAACUGAGAUUUAGCUUAAGCCUUGUAAAACUCCCCGUUGAUAGUUGUGCUCAUCUGCUUUCUGCUUCCCUGAAAGACUUUUAAAACAAAAAGGUGUGAAUUGUGAAGACAUCUUGUUUUUAAGUCAGCAACCAGGUGGGGGGAAGCUGCUAUUAGCACACAGACUUUAGAAGCUAAGACCUCAUAGCAUGAGGAGUGG